rnacentral:tRNA from 1 species
UGUAGCUCAACUGGUAGAGCAACUGACUUGUAAUCAGUAGGUUGGGGGUUCAAGUCCUCUCGCCGGCACCA